UACGGAGGGUGCAAGCGUUGUUCGGAAUUAUUGGGCGUAAAGAGCAUGUAGGCGGUUGUUUAAGUCUGGUGUGAAAGCCCGGGGCUCAACCCCGGAAGUGCAUUGGAAACUAAGCAACUUGAGUACGGGAGAGGAAAGUGGAAUUCCGAGUGUAGGGGUGAAAUCCGUAGAUAUUCGGAGGAACACCAGUGGCGAAGGCGGCUUUCUGGACCGAUACUGACGCUGAGAUGCGAAAGCGUGGGGAGCAAACAGG
rnacentral:rRNA from 1 species